GUGUGAGCUGUCUGGCUGUGACAUAUGCCACCCUGCCGAUUGCCAGGGUUCAUUCUCAGACCUGACUGGAUGGGUGUCUCCUUCCUCACCAGCUCCAUAUGUCUGUGUCAUUCCCUGAGUUGCACAGUCAGCGGAAGAGGACCUGCCGUAGAGGAGGACCCCACUCCAGUCAAGGAGAUACCAACCAGCAGCUGCACUCCCCUGAUAGAACUCUAAGUGAGCUCUCAAAAUAGCCACACCAGUCAGGAUCUGCCAUCCGUAUCUCCAGCCUUUGAGACCACACUCAGGUUGUUCCCAGAGAGAAGGU
rnacentral:snRNA from 1 species